rnacentral:rRNA from 1 species
AGAGAUUAAAACUCGUACCUUUUGCAUCAUGAUCUAGCCAGUACACUCAAGCAAAGAGAACUCUAGUUUGAAACCCCGAAACCUUCAACGAGCUACCUCAAGGCCGUCCAAAACAGGACAAACCCGUCUCUGUGGCAAAAGAGUGGGAAGACCUUCAGGUAGAGGUGAAAAGCCUACCGAGUCAGGUUAUAGCUGGUUGCCCAGAAAAUGAAUAGCAGUUCAGCCCCAUAAAUACCCAAACCAACCAUACAUCUUUAUAGGUAAAGAGUUAAACUUAUGGGAGUUAGUUAAGGGGGGUACAGCCCCCUUAACAAAGGACACAACCUCAAUACAGGAGGCUAAGGAAUAUACUACAUCACAAGGCAUAAAAGUUCCAGUAGGCCUAAAAGCAGCCAUCUGAACAGAAAGCGUUAAAGCUUAAACCAAACCAAGCCUAACAUUACAUUAAACCCUCCAAUGCCCCUUAAUAAUACUGAGCCACUUUAUGCCACCAUAAAAGAGACCAUGCUAGAACAAGUAAUAAGAAGAAUGAACUUCUCCUCGCACACGUGUAAGUCGAAUCGGACAAACCACCGACAAUUAACGAACCCAAAAACAGAGGGCCCCACAUAACCACCAUUAAAAUCAAGAAAACCACGUCUCCCCCAAUCGUUACCCCUACACAGGAGUGCACCCCUUAAAGGAAAGACCAAAAGGAUAAAAAGGAACUCGGCAAACCAAAACCCCGCCUGUUUACCAAAAACAUCGCCUCCUGCCCCCAAUCGCAUAGG